UUUCUACUUCCUCCGUCCGAAAAUACUUGUCAUAAGAAUGGAUGUAUCUAGAUGUGUUUUAGUUUUAAAUACAUCCUUUUUAUGCAUUUGUGCAAUAACUAAUUUCGGACAAAGGGAGUAUGUU
rnacentral:pre_miRNA from 1 species